rnacentral:misc_RNA from 1 species
GAAAUGCGAUAAGUAAUGUGAAUUGCAGAAUUCCGUUAAUCAUCGAAUCUUUGAACGCACAUUGUGCCCUCUGGCAUUCCGGGGGGCAUGCCUGUCCGAGCGUCAUUACGCACCCUCAAGCCCGGCUUGUGUGAUGGGCCCCGGCGUCUCGUUCGCGAGACGGGCCCGAAAGGCAGCGGCGGCGUCGACCCGAUGAGCCCGAGCGUAUGGGGACUUCUGUCACACGUUCGCGGUGCGGACCGGCGCCUGCUUGACUUUUCUGAUUAUCCAGGUUGACCUCGGAUCAGGUAGGGAUACCCGCUGAACUUAAGC